AGAAGAGCUGGGAAUGGAGGACUGAAGUUGAGCCUGGGAGUAAGGAGGGGAGUGGGGAGAUGGGGUUUCUAGUUUUGCCUUUGAUUCUCACCAUUCUGCUCUAAUUAAGUAAUCAAUAUGUUGGAUUAAUCUUCAAGUCAAGUCUGUUUGGCUCAUGCUGGUAAACUGAUCACAAGAACUGCUUUAAGUUAAAUAAGAACCCAGAAAGCAGAGACUUCUUCCAAAAGAAAUAAAACUUCAAAAAACAGAUGACAAAACAGAAACUUGCCUUCAAAAGGGCAUAAUAUAUUUUCUGAACAAUAUACAGUACCUUAUCUAAAUUGAAUAGUUUUAUCCUGCAACCAUUUAUGGAAGAGCAGAGUACAGAAUGAGCAUUGAAAGUUUGUAUAGCUCCUCUUCUCUUUCUCAUCUUCGCUUCAAACAGAAGAACAAAAAGCUGAGAGCAAUAAACUAAAGAGCUGAAAAAAUCUAGUGUAAAGAAGUAAUUCAAAGAACAAGGAAGAAAGAAAUACGAGAGGAGGAAGGGAACAAAGAGAGGACAAAGGAAGCAGAACAAGGGAAAGAAGUGUCCUAUCAUUCUAUAGGUAGUAUUGUGUGUCUACAUGUAAACCAGGUUGUUGGUGACUAACACAAUAGACUGUUCCUAGCAUGCUGAAAUUGUCACUUGACCACUUCAUUGUCCCUUAUGUUUUGCUUUCUCUGGUCCUAUUUUUUUCUUUCUUCCUUUUUCUUUCUGUCUAUAAUUCCUAUUUCCUGUCUACCAUCGUAAUAUUUAAAAGCCUCUGUCUACCCUUUGCUACCAAUUGCUAUUGUUUUUGCCUCACUACAGCUAAGCUCAUUGAGUUGCUUUGGAAAGAGCUCAAACUCCUAUCCAAACCUCUGGAGGAGGCACAACAAAGCAGAAAGAAACUGCAGCCAGCGGUGAGAGAAGCCUGGUCCAAAGGAAAUGUACAAAUCCUGUAUCAUUAUCAUUUGUGAUCGACACUAACACCAUGAGUAGUGUGCCAGUUACAACAUUAAAAAAGAAAAAAAAAGUACUGGCUGGAGGUUAGCUCUGUUAAUUUUCAGAACUGAAAAUGAGAUGAACAGCCUAAAGUGCGGAAAAAGGGAAGCUGCAGUGUCUCAGACACCUGCUUUUCUUAAUCCAGUAUCAUUUGGAAACAAAAAAUGCUACUUUCUCAGUCCAAUACUUAUCAACAAUUAGGAGCAGGUGACUAAUUUGAUAGCUGAAACUAAAUCUGGAGGCAAUCAUUCUUACACAGGCUGUCACAAAUUUCUCUUUUCUUCAGAUGCUGAUUUUCUAUGUCAUGCUGGUGUCCCAUGGCCCUUGUGAAGUUUGGCUCCCUGUUGUACUAUUCUUCCAGAAGCAGAGAAGUAGAAACAAUCUCUGUGCCAAAGAGCUUGCAAGUCUUGAUCAAUGCAGAAGGGAAACAUUCUGUCUCUAUACUUGCACAUCAUCAUUGCCUCAACAGGAUUCUGAUUCUUGAUAACUGUAAGAUAUGAUGCAGGCCAUAUUCAUUGUAAGGUGUAAUAUGGAGGGGGUCCAGUGAAGUGCCAUGACUAUAUGGAUCUGGAGCAUUGGUCUUAGAAGCUGGACUUCUAACAGUAUAGAUGUACCAUACAGAAAGUUGCACGUGGACUUCAAAACUCACAUUGUUCUAAAUGUCAUGAGAAUUUCACGAGAAAUGAAAAAAAACCAGCAAUGAGCGGAGUCAUUGCAAAGGUAUUUAGACACUGUGCACAAGGCAAGAGGCCAUCUUACUACCUUUAGGAGCAGAGUUUGAAGAUUUGGUUGUGUCUUGGCCAGUGCCAAGAAAAAAAGUGCAAUAAAAGGAUUGUGUUUAAAUCUGCAGAAACUGAGAUCCAGCCCAAAGCAAGACAGCGUGAAAAUAAGGAGCUGUGGAUCAAGCGGCUCACUGAGUGAGCUCGCCUGCCUGUUAGUCUUCACUGAAUGAAAACUGCUCACCUCACUGUGAAAGAUGCAGCAUAAAGGCUUGAUGUAGACUUGGUUCCCUCAGUGUGACCUGUAUUACCUGAGCAGAAGGAUGUCUCAUUUCUGGAUUCUGAUCAGGCUUAGGUGUGAAAUGGGAGCAGUAAUUACUUCCUGUGCUGCAAAGGCAUUGAGAAGUUUCAAGGCGUGCAGUUCUGGGUGACGGGAAACAAAACUAAACGAAGUAGAAAUGUGAUCAGAAAAACAAUGAGAGCAGAACUUGAUCUGCUUGCAGGAAAAAGAAAUAGAGGAUAUGUUUUCUACCCUGAAGAACAGGGUAGAGCUGCAGAGAAGAACAGAAAGCUGCAGGAAAUAAAUGUCAAAGAAAGAAUGACAAAAAGAUCAGGAAAGAAAUAGCCCAGGAUUUCCUGCUGAUGACAGAAAGGAGAAUGAAUAUGCUGAACAGUUAUCUGUAAAAGGCUGCUACAACCUAACAGCAGAUAAAAAAAGAGCUACUCAAGUUCCAG
ensembl:lncRNA